rnacentral:rRNA from 1 species
AUGUAUAAGCAGGGGGCGGCCGGAGGGGCGGGGCUGGACCGGAAGCGCAUCAGCGACGCGCUCGAUAAGCACCUGGAGAAGGCGGCCGCGUCACCCUCCACGUCGAGAGGCUCGGCGGGUGCCCGAGGCAACCACAACCGCGUCGUAGUGCCGUCCUCCAUCCCCAAGGGCCGCUGCUCCGAAGGGGAGUCUGAAUCUGACAGUGAAGCAUCAGAUGUUAGUGGCUCUGAUGGAGAAGACACCUCAUGGAUUUCAUGGUAUUGCAACCUAAGAGGGAAUGAGUUCUUCUGUGAAGUCGAUGAUGAUUACAUUCAAGAUGACUUCAAUCUUUGUGGGCUUAGCAGUCAAGUUCCAUAUUAUGAUUAUGCUCUUGAUCUCAUUUUAGAUAUUGAGUCUUCCCAUGGUGAUAUUUUCACAGAAGAACAAAAUGAGCUAGUGGAAUCAGCUGCUGAGAUGUUGUAUGGGCUAAUUCAUGCGCGAUACAUUCUGACCAGUAAAGGGUUGGCUGCUAUGCUGGAGAAAUACAAGAACUAUGACUUUGGACGAUGUCCACGGGUUUAUUGCUGUGGCCAACCAUGUCUACCAGUUGGACAAUCGGAUAUUCACCGGUCUAGUACAGUGAAGAUAUACUGUCCUAAGUGCGAAGACAUCUACUAUCCACGGUCUAAAUACCAAGGCAAUAUUGAUGGAGCCUACUUUGGGACAACAUUUCCUCACCUGUUUCUGAUGACGUACGAUCACCUCAAGCCCCAGAAGCCCUCGCAGCGCUAUGUUCCUCGCGUAUUUGGCUUCAAGCUCCACAAGCCAUGA